UGGGGAAUAUUGCACAAUGGGCGGAAGCCUGAUGCAGCGACGCCGCGUGGGGGAUGACGGCCUUCGGGUUGUAAACCUCUUUCGACAGGGACGAAGUGAAAAUGACGGUACCUGUAUAAGAAGCACCGGCUAACUACGUGCCAGCAGCCGCGGUAAUACGUAGGGUGCGAGCGUUGUCCGGAAUUACUGGGCGUAAAGAGCUCGUAGGUGGUUUGUCACGUCGUCUGUGAAAUUCCGGGGCUUAACCUCGGGCGUGCAGGCGAUACGGGCAAUACUUGAGUGCUGUAGGGGAGACUGGAAUUCCUGGUGUAGCGGUGAAAUGCGCAGAUAUCAGGAGGAACACCAAUGGCGAAGGCAGGUCUCUGGGCAGUUACUGACGCUGAGGAGCGAAAGCAUGGGUAGCGAACAGG
rnacentral:rRNA from 3 species